rnacentral:rRNA from 1 species
UACAGAGGAGCCAAGCGUUGUCCGGAUUGACUGGGCGUAAAGCGCACGCAGGCGGUUGCGCGCGGGGGGUGUGAAAUCUGGCCGCUUAACGGCCAGGCGCCAUCCCAUACGGCGCGACUGGAGUGAUGCAGAGGUCGAUGGAAUUGCCGGUGUAGUGGUGAAAUGCGUAGAUAUUCGGAGGAACACCAGUGGCGAAGGCGGCUCACUGGUCCAUUACUGACGCUGAGGUGCGAAAGCGUGGGGAGCAAACAGG